AGAAGCUUGAUGUGGCAUCCUUAUCUUUCCAUUCCCAUCUCAGACCUAGGCAUUCUUGUGACUCAUGGCUCAAAUAUUGCUUUAACGGAGGGCACAUUUCCUUCCAUAUCUGCCAAAUUCAACUUAAGACAUGCAAUGUCUCAGAAACCAACGCAUUUUCUGGUUUUAUUGAGGGGAGCAUCUAUCAAAGUCGAUGAAAGUUAAAUUUCUUUUAUUUUAUUACCAACUCAGGCCCUUGAAAGCAACGAGAGCAAUAACUCCACCAUAUAUUCCAUCGAUAUCUUUUACUAUGAAGUCACAUUAAGAUGGAAGCUUACAACUGAUUUACAGUAGGAUUUUUGUGAAGGUUUUCUCUUAGUCAUGAUACACACCACCAUGACUGCUUAUUUAUUUAGGUUGAUUUUAUUAUAUCUAGGAAAUUAACAAAAGCAUUUCGGCAAUAGGUGCAAAGAGAAAUUUGUUAGAAGAGCUAAAUUCACAAUGGUCAAUCAGUGGUAAUAAACACACCAUGCUCAA